UUACCUGACCAAUAUGGUAAAUCAGCUUUUGAUUCAGUUGCUCAUUGAUUCAUGCUAAACACAUGCUACAAAGGUUGAUUAGUGUGGUUGAUUUAGGUGCCAUGACCGGCUUGAAUCUAGUCUUCUUUGAUCUGACAUGGUGAAGUCAGUGGAAGAAUUAUGAUUAGCUGGUCAAGUUCAAUCUCUUCUCUUAAAUAUGUCAAUCAAAUUCUUUAAAUUAUUAGGUCCAUAAAAUGAGCUAGUUAUAGGGACGACUAGAUCAUAGCCUCUUAUUAAGUUGGAUGAUAAUGGGUCCAUUAGUUGGAUGAUCAUUGGACGACCUAAAGGCCUAAUGCUCAUAUGCUAUUGAAAUUAUCAUUUAUAAUAUGAUGACUCAGUCGAGUUUCUCUUAUAGGU
rnacentral:lncRNA from 1 species